rnacentral:rRNA from 1 species
GACGAACGCUGGCGGCGUGCCUAAUACAUGCAAGUCGAACGCAGUGGGGACGGGUGCGUAACACGUGGGUAACCUGCCAUCAGAGGGGAUAAACGUUGGAAAAAGGUGCUAAACCGCUACUGCUGGAUGGACCCGCGGUGGAUUAGCUAGUUGGUGAGGUAACGGCUCACCAAGGCCACGAUGCCUACCUGGCCUGAGAGGGGGACCGGCCACACUGGGACUGAGACACGGCCCAGACUCCUACGGGAGGCAGCAGUAGGGAAUCUUCGGCAAUGGACGAAAGCCUGACCCAGCAAUGCCGCGUGAGUGAAGAAGGCUUUCGGAUCGUAAAACUCUGUUGUUAGAGAAGCGGUAUCUAACCAGAAAGCAACGGCUAACUACGUGCCAGCAGCCGCGGUAAUAC